rnacentral:rRNA from 1 species
CUCCGGUUGAUCCCGCCGGACCUGACUGCUAUCGGAUUGGUACUAAGCCAUGCGAGUCGUUGUAGCAAUACAAGGCGGACGGCUCAGUAACACGUAGUCAACCUAACCUAUGGACGUGGAUAACCUCGGGAAACUGAGAAUAAACCGCGAUAGAUCAUUAUGCCUGGAAUGGCUUAUGGUUCAAACAAUUUAUUGCCGUAGGAUGGGACUGCGGCCUAUCAGCUUGUUGGUGAGGUAAUGGCCCGCCAAGGCUAUAACAGGUACGGGCUCUGAGAGGAGAAGCCCGGAGAUGGGUACUGAGACACGGACCCAGGCCCUAUGGGGCGCAGCAGGCGAGAAACCUUAGCAAUGUGCGAAAGCACGACUAGGUUAAUCCGAGUGAUUUCUGUUGAAGAAAUCUUUUGUCAGUCGUAAAACCACAGACGAAUAAGGGGUGGGCAAGUCUGGUGUCAGCCGCCGCGGUAAUACCAGCACCUCGAGUGGUCAGGAGGUUUAUUGGGCCUAAAGCAUCCGUAGCCGGCUACGCAAGUCUCCGGUUAAAUCCAGCUGCUCAACAGAUGGGCUGCCGGAGAUACUACAUAGCUAGGGAGCGGGAGAGGUAGACGGUAUUCUGUGGGUAGGGGUAAAAUCCACUGAUCCAUAGAGGACCACCAGUGGCGAAGGCGGUCUACCAGAACGCGUUCGACGGUGAGGGAUGAAAGCUGGGGGAGCAAACCGGAUUAGAUACCCGGGUAGUCCCAGCUGUAAACGAUGCAAACUCGGUGAUGCAUUGGCUUAUGGCCAAUGCAGUGCCGCAGGGAAGCCGUUAAGUUUGCCGCCUGGGAAGUACGGACGCAAGUCUGAAACUUAAAGGAAUUGGCGGGGGAGCA